AUAACCCGUACGAAUCGUUUUGUUGUUGCUGCAAAUCAGCCAUACCGGUAAUGCGGUAAUGGGUUCAUGACUUCUAAAUUAAGUGUCCGUGAAAAAUAAGCUCUACAUGAUUUUUAACCCCCCAUAACAAUUACCAAAAUAGCAAGAAAACUUCAUGUGGACCAUCAUGACAGCUUUUGGUCAUUCUCGACUAAAGUGGGGGGCAUGAAGGCUUGGCCUUUGAAGUUAUACUUCUAUUUACAAUGAAAAUUCAAAUAAAUAUAAUUUAAAUAAGCAAUGAGUUAGCAUGUUCACCAAUCCUUAUGUGGAGGGAUGGUAUACUUUCGAUCACGCUUCACUGUACGGCGUACGCACGGUUUGUGAUGGUGAAAUUUCCUCCAUGGUUCAAUUUUCAUCCAUGGAGAUCCCUGAUAGGUCAAUGUACAGCCUUCAACAUGGAGCCUUGGCUCACACCGAACAACAAGCUAUAAAGGGCCCCAAAAUUACUAGUGUAAAACCAUUCAAACGGAAAAACCAACGGUCUA
rnacentral:lncRNA from 1 species